GCCACACCCCUUGGUCGCGAGCUCUGAGCCCUUUGCAGCAUUUGACACUGGACAUGCUCGUGCUUCUUAAAACACUUGCCUAACGGUAAGCAACGGCAUCCAACGGUGCCCGAGGGAGUCGCGCUGCCGGAUAAGCAGCUCUGCGGUGGCAGAGGCUGGGCUGCGGUCUCUCCGACAUCGCGGAACAGAGGAAGAGAUGAAGGCCCUGCAGCCCCCGCCGCCCGAUUUACGCUUGAGGAAGCGCAGGCGAGAGAGGUCGUCUGCAGGGCCAGUCCAGGGCCGCCGGGGGGCCCAGCCCUAGAGAGCGGGGCCCGGGCUGCGGGGACCGGCGGCCUGAACGGCGGAGCGUUGAAAGCUCCCCCAGGGAUAGGAAGUGCAGCGGAAAUCAAUGACUGAGGUCAAGGAAGGAGGGGACGCUUGAGACCGUGGAGGGGAAGCAGGUUUCUCCAGGAGGGAACCCGGGCCUCCGCUUUGCUCGGCGUUCCCCUUGCGAAUGUGUUGAGCACCUGUUAUGUGCUGGGGGUACAGAGGAUCUGAGCACCUCCCUCACACGGGCAGAACCCUGGCUCCCAUGUUCACCAUGCUGAGAGAGACCUUCGGGGAACAACGAGAGGCCAGCCGGGGAAUGGGCCCCCACUUGUCCAGCAUCAGAGGCAGAGCCCGCGCAUGCCCGACCUCGCUCCUCGCGCUCCCUGGGCAGCAGCUCCCUGGCAGUUGGAACUGGAAGGCUUCUCAGAGUCCGCGCAGCCCCACCGCUCUCCCCACUCUCGGGGUUGGGCACUGGGGGGACAGAGCCAGGGCAGGGAGGAAGACAGGGCCCGGCUCACCCCGCAGCUCAGCCCAUGAGGGUACGCGGAGCAGGGCUGGCAGGAGCGGGCCACUCCACACCCAGCCCUGUUGAAGAAAAAGAACAGAAACAGGGAACAGAAACUUGUCGGUUGCUGUGUAACAAUUUGCCCCGCAGCUGAGCCCCUUCAAACAAAUGUAGCUCCACAGUGUCUGUGGGUCAGACAUCCAGGCCCGGUGAAGGAGCCUCUGCCUCAAGGUCCCUCCCGAGGCCUCCGUCAGGACCCGCCGGACUGUGAGCGGACUGCAGGCUCCAGGCGGGGAGGCUCAGCUUCUCUGCUGGCCCCGCGGCUGUGGGCAGGAUUCAGUUCCUCACGGGCUAUUAGAGUGAGGGCCUCGAUCUUUUCUGCUUUUUGGCUGGAGGCCUCACUCAAUUCUCUGCUGCACGGACCUUUCCUUGGCACAGCUCCCGCAUAGCUCAGCAAGCCGCAAAGGCAGGCUCCUGCAGCCACAGGGAACCCCCCCUCUUUCUGCUGUGUUCUGUUGGUGUGGGUUCCGCCCAGGGGAGGAGGUUCCACAGGACACACACCAGGAGUUGGGGGCGCUGAGGGCCAUCUCCCAGGCUGCCCACCACAGCCCCACGUGGCCACCCGUGUCUGUGUUCUUGCCACUGUCCCUACCCUCCGGGAGUGGGUCUGGUCUCAUCAGGGAGGGCAGCGCUCUCUUCACUCUGUCCUUGCUCUGGUGUUUCACUGUGAUUUUAAAAACUGAAACUGGAAUUGUUACCCCUUGAUAUAGCUGCACCCUGAGUGGGCCUCUGCGACGCCCCUCCUUCUCUUAAGCCUUUCCAAGCUGUCUGACGAUUUUUAAGUCCCAUUUCCUGAGUGGCACAGAGCAUCUUAAGCUUCUGAGUGACUUGUGUUUUCCUCAGAGACAGAGGGGACCCCCAAUCUGUUUGUUUCCAGAGGCCCUGAUGGUGUCUUGGGAGUGGAGGAACCUGAAGGAAAGUCCCGGGGGCGAGUCCGGGGAGAGCUCUGCCCUGGCGCCCUUGCACGUAUCCACAUGGGCCACAGCUGCACCCUGCUCUCAGCAGAGCACCUUGCCAUGCUCCUGGGCACAGCCGGGCCCCCUCGCCUCCCUGCGGCUCCUAAUGCCUCCCAGGCUCUGCUGAGUCACCUUGGGCACUUAGCGUGGCUGCAGCUCUUUGCGGCCCAGUGUCCUGUCAUCCAUGUGGCAGUCAUGUGGUCACUUUUCGGUAUUGCCCUGCACAAGGUCCAUGGGGACUGGGCACCUUUGGCCAUUCUUUCUUUGGUUGUCUGUGCAAAUAAUAAACCAAAUCUGAAAAGGUC